rnacentral:rRNA from 1 species
AGAGUUUGAUCCUGGCUCAGGAUGAACGCUGGCGGCGUGCUUAACACAUGCAAGUCGAACGAACCUUCGGGUUAGUGGCGGACGGGUGAGUAACGCGUGAGAAUCUGCCCUCAGGAGGGGGAUAACAGUUGGAAACGACUGCUAAUACCCCAUAUGCCGAGAGGUGAAAUGAAUUUCGCCUGGGGAUGAGCUCGCGUCUGAUUAGCUUGUUGGUGGGGUAAUAGCCUACCAAGGCUUCGAUCAGUAGCUGGUCUGAGAGGACGAUCAGCCACACUGGGACUGAGACACGGCCCAGACUCCUACGGGAGGCAGCAGUGGGGAAUUUUCCGCAAUGGGCGAAAGCCUGACGGAGCAACGCCGCGUGAGGGAUGGAGGCCUUUGGGCUGUAAACCUCUUUUCUCAAGGAAGAAGAUCUGACGGUACUUGAGGAAUAAGCCACGGCUAAUUCCGUGCCAGCAGCCGCGGUAAUACGGGAGUGGCAAGCGUUAUCCGGAAUUAUUGGGCGUAAAGCGUCCGCAGGCGGCCGUUUAAGUCUGUUGUUAAAUCGUGGAGCUCAACUCCAUCACGGCAAUGGAAACUGUUCGGCUUGAGUAAGGUAGGGGCAGAGGGAAUCUCCGGUGUAGCGGUGAAAUGCGUAGAUAUCGGGAAGAACACCAGUGGCGAAAGCGCUCUGCUGGGCCAUUACUGACGCUCAUGGACGAAAGCCAGGGGAGCGAAAGGGAUUAGAUACCCCUGUAGUCCUGGCCGUAAACGAUGAACACUAGAUGUUGGGGGAAUCGACCCCCUCGGUGUCGUAGCUAACGCGUUAAGUGUUCCGCCUGGGGAGUACGCACGCAAGUGUGAAACUCAAAGGAAUUGACGGGGGCCCACACAAGCGGUGGAGUAUGUGGUUUAAUUCGAUGCAACGCGAAGAACCUUACCAAGGCUUGACAUCCUGCGAAUCUCUAAGAAAUUAGAGAGUGCCUUCGGGAACGCAGUGACAGGUGGUGCAUGGCUGUCGUCAGCUCGUGUCGUGAGAUGUUGGGUUAAGUCCCGCAACGAGCGCAACCCACGUUUUUAGUUGCCAGCAUUCAGUUGGGCACUCUAGAAAGACUGCCGGUGACAAACCGGAGGAAGGUGUGGACGACGUCAAGUCAUCAUGCCCCUUACGCCUUGGGCUACACACGUACUACAAUGCUGCGGACAAAGAGUAGCGAUCUUGCGAAAGUUAGCUAAUCUCAUAAACCGUGGCUCGGUUCAGAUCGUAGGCUGCAACUCGCCUACGUGAAGGAGGAAUCGCUAGUAAUCGCAGGUCAGCAUACUGCGGUGAAUACGUUCCCGGGCCUUGUACACACCGCCCGUCACACCAUGGAAGUUGGCCAUGCCCGAAGUCGUUACUCUAACCUUUUGGAAGAGGGCGCCGAAGGCAGGGCUAAUGACUGGGGUGAAGUCGUAACAAGGUAACC